GCCAGGCCCAUCUGACCUCACUUCCUCUGCCCUGUGCCUCCCGAUGGCACAGUACAUUAGGGAAAUCCUGAGCGUGCUAUGACUUUGAUGUGGCUUGAUCGUGUCUCCCAUGACCUCAUGUGCUGGAAUCUAAUGCCUGCUAUGAAGACGGUAUAGUGCCAGACUUGAGAAAGAAAACUGUGUUGCUCUGCUGCGUCAGGCUGGGAACUCAAGAGGAACAGAGCAAUGGGGUGAGUGUUGCUGUGUUGGGCUGGGAACUCAAGAGGAACAGAGCAAUGGGUUACUGUUCCCCUCACAAUGUGUGGGAAAGUCUGUAAGAAGAAUAGUUUUGAGGCCAGCCGUGGUGGCACAUGCCACAUCUGGAGGCUGAAGCUGAAGAGCUGUCACAAGCUCCAGGCAAGCCUGGGCUACAUGGUGAAUCCCAGACUAGCCUGGUCUCUGGAGUGAGACCCUACCUCAAAAUAACUAAAGCAAAACCAACAGAAUAGGCUUGGAGUUGAUGCUUGCUCUAAUUCCAUCUUUGGGAAACCGUCUCAGGCUCAGGACUGUGGAAUCAAAUAAAGUGCUUGAGAAACUCCACAAGAGACUCUA